CCCUUAGAUGUUCUGGGCUGCACGCGCGCUACACUGAUGCACUCAACGAGUUUACGACCUUGUCCGAGAGGAUUGGGUAAUCUUUUUAAAAUGCAUCGUGAUGGGGAUAGAUUAUUGCAAUUAUUAAUCUUCAACGAGGAAUUCCUAGUAAGCGCGAGUCAUCAGCUCGUGCUGAUUACGUCCCUGCCCUUUGUACACACCGCCCGUCGCUCCUACCGAUUGGGUGAGCCGAUGAAACUCUCGGAUGUAGGCUAUUCAUAGCCCGCAGAAGAGAUGUGAAUCGUAGCGCUUAGAGGAAGGAGAAGUCGUAACA
rnacentral:rRNA from 1 species